rnacentral:hammerhead_ribozyme from 1 species
AUCCAUCUGACGAGUCCUAAUAGGAGGAAACACGCAUCCUGGAU